UCCGGCAUAACCCCGGGAAACUGGGGAUAAUUCUGGAUAACGCACAUAUGCUGGAAUGCUUUAUGCGUAAAAUGGAUUCGUCUGCCCAAGGAUGGGUCUGCGGCCUAUCAGGUAGUAGUGGGUGUAAUGUACCUACUAGCCAACAACGGGUACGGGUUGUGAGAGCAAGAGCCCGGAGAUGGAUUCUGAGACAUGAAUCCAGGCCCUACGGGGCGCAGCAGGCGCGAAAACUUUACAAUGCGGGAAACCGUGAUAAGGGGACACCGAGUGCCAGCAUCAUAUGCUGGCUGUCCAGGUGUGUAAACUACACCUGUUAGCAAGGGCCGGGCAAGACCGGUGCCAGCCGCCGCGGUAACACCGGCGGCCCGAGUGGUGAUCGUGAUUAUUGGGUCUAAAGGGUCCGUAGCCGGUUUGGUCAGUCCUCCGGGAAAUCUGAUAGCUCAACUAUUAGGCUUUCGGGGGAUACUGCCAGGCUUGGAACCGGGAGAGGUAAGAGGUACUACAGGGGUAGGAGUGAAAUCUUGUAAUCCCUGUGGGACCACCUGUGGCGAAGGCGUCUUACCAGAACGGGUUCGACGGUGAGGGACGAAAGCUGGGGGCACGAACCGGAUUAGAUACCCGGGUAGUCCCAGCCGUAAACGAUGCUCGCUAGGUGUCAGGCAUGGCGCGACCGUGUCUGGUGCCGCAGGGAAGCCGUGAAGCGAGCCACCUGGGAAGUACGGCCGCAAGGCUGAAACUUAAAGGAAUUGGCGGGGGAGCAC
rnacentral:rRNA from 1 species